CUGAAAGUCCUGCCCCCCUCCAGUGUGGAGGUGUCCAGCAAGAACACGGCCACCCUGAUGUGNCUGGCCAACAAGGGCUUCCCCUCCGACUGGAAGCUGAGCUGGAAGGUGGACGGUAACAGCAAAGCCGCGGAGACGAGCCGCGGGCUCCUGGAGAAGGACGGCCUGUACAGCUGGAGCAGCAGCCUGAGCCUCACUGCGGACGAGUGGAAGAAGGCGGGCUCAGUGGUCUGUGAGGCCCAUCAGGGCUGCCAGGCUCCUGUCACUCAAACGCUGAAGCGCGCCGACUGUUCAGAAUAGAUGAGAUCAGCGUCACCUGUGAUGAGCGGCUGAUUACUGUGUUUUUACUGUGCUGUGCUACACGCUUCUGAUUUACUAACUGAAUAUAUAUUGUGCUUUGCUUGAUCCAUGAGUGAAUAUCUUAACUGAUAUUUUAUUAGUUUUGGUGUUUCCUUGUAUUAUCUUGUGUGUU